rnacentral:tRNA from 1 species
GGGGGCGGAGGAGGUCUGGUGGCCUCACUGGUCUUCAAAACCAGCUCGCCCGGCUAACCCCCGGGUUGGUGGGUUCGAUUCCCACACGCUCCCGCCA